ACUCAAAUGAAUAGACGGGGGUCCGCACAAGCGGUGGAACAUGUGGUUUAAUUCGUCACUACGCGAGGAACCUUACCUGGGCUUGACAUGCUUUUGACCGCUGUAGAAAUACAGUCUUCUAGGCUUCGGUUUAGACAAUUGCACAGGUGCUGCAUGGCUGUCGUCAGCUCGUGUCGUGAGACGUUAGGUUAAGUCCUCUAACGAGCGCAACCCCUAUUGCCAGUUGCUACUACUUCGGUAGGCACUCUGGUGAGACUGCCUGUGAAAGCAGGAGGAAGGUGGGGAUGACGUCAAGUCAUCAUGGUCCUUAUGUCCAGGGCUACACACGUGUUACAAUGGCUGAUACAAAAAGUUGCAAUACCGUAAGGUGGAGCUAAUCUUUAAAGUCAGUCUAAGUUCGGAUUGAGGUCUGCAAUUCGACCUCAUGAAGUUGAAAUCGCUAGUAAUCGCGUAUCAGAUACGACGCGGUGAAUACGUUCUCGGACCUUGUACACACCGCCCGU
rnacentral:rRNA from 1 species